rnacentral:misc_RNA from 1 species
GAAAUGCGAUAAGUAAUGUGAAUUGCAGAAUUCAGUGAAUCAUCGAAUCUUUGAACGCACAUUGCGCCCGCCAGUAUUCUGGCGGGCAUGCCUGUUCGAGCGUCAUUUCAACCAUCAAGCCCCGGGCUUGUGUUGGGGACCUGCGGCUGCCGCAGGUCCUGAAAAGCAGUGGCGGGCUCGCUGUCACACCGAGCGUAGUAGCAUACAUCUCGCUCUGGGCGUGCUGCGGGUUCCGGCCGUUAAACCACCUUCGUAACCCAAGGUUGACCUCGGAUCAGGUAGGAAGACCCGCUGAACUUAAGC